GAUGAACGCUGGCGGCGUGCCUAAUACAUGCAAGUCGAGCGAACGGACGAGAAGCUUGCUUCUCUGAUGUUAGCGGCGGACGGGUGAGUAACACGUGGAUAACCUACCUAUAAGACUGGGAUAACUUCGGGAAACCGGAGCUAAUACCGGAUAAUAUUUUGAACCGCAUGGUUCAAAAGUGAAAGACGGUCUUGCUGUCACUUAUAGAUGGAUCCGCGCUGCAUUAGCUAGUUGGUAAGGUAACGGCUUACCAAGGCAACGAUGCAUAGCCGACCUGAGAGGGUGAUCGGCCACACUGGAACUGAGACACGGUCCAGACUCCUACGGGAGGCAGCAGUAGGGAAUCUUCCGCAAUGGGCGAAAGCCUGACGGAGCAACGCCGCGUGAGUGAGGAAGGUCUUCGGAUCGUAAAACUCUGUUAUUAGGGAAGAACAUAUGUGUAAGUAACUGUGCACAUCUUGACGGUACCUAAUCAGAAAGCCACGGCUAACUACGUGCCAGCAGCCGCGGUAAUACGUAGGUGGCAAGCGUUAUCCGGAAUUAUUGGGCGUAAAGCGCGCGUAGGCGGUUUUUUAAGUCUGAUGUGAAAGCCCACGGCUCAACCGUGGAGGGUCAUUGGAAACUGGAAAACUUGAGUGCAGAAGAGGAAAGUGGAAUUCCAUGUGUAGCGGUGAAAUGCGCAGAGAUAUGGAGGAACACCAGUGGCGAAGGCGACUCUCUGGUCUGUAACUGACGCUGAUGUGCGAAAGCGUGGGGAUCAAACAGGAUUAGAUACCCUGGUAGUCCACGCCGUAAACGAUGAGUGCUAAGUGUUAGGGGGUUUCCGCCCCUUAGUGCUGCAGCUAACGCAUUAAGCACUCCGCCUGGGGAGUACGACCGCAAGGUUGAAACUCAAAGGAAUUGACGGGGACCCGCACAAGCGGUGGAGCAUGUGGUUUAAUUCGAAGCAACGCGAAGAACCUUACCAAAUCUUGACAUCCUUUGACAACUCUAGAGAUAGAGCCUUCCCCUUCGGGGGGGCAAAGUGACAGGUGGUGCAUGGUUGUCGUCAGCUCGUGUCGUGAGAUGUUGGGUUAAGUCCCGCAACGAGCGCAACCCUUAAGCUUAGUUGCCAUCAUUAAGUUGGGCACUCUAAGUUGACUGCCGGUGACAAACCGGAGGAAGGUGGGGAUGACGUCAAAUCAUCAUGCCCCUUAUGAUCUGGGCUACACACGUGCUACAAUGGACAAUACAAAGGGCAGCGAAACCGCGAGGUCAAGCAAAUCCCAUAAAGUUGUUCUCAGUUCGGAUUGUAGUCUGCAACUCGACUACAUGAAGCUGGAAUCGCUAGUAAUCGUAGAUCAGCAUGCUACGGUGAAUACGUUCCCGGGUCU
rnacentral:rRNA from 1 species